rnacentral:lncRNA from 1 species
AGAUUACUGAAUGAGUCUGGCUCUUUAAAUUACGCUUAGUGAACUCAAUGAUUGCUGAGGACAGCAACUAGGACUGGAAGAAAUUGUCUGCUAAGUGGUAGAAAAACCCUCUCAUGGUCCCACCCAGACUCCUCCUCAUCUUCCAAUGUGCACUGGAGACUCAAACCACACCAUGACCCCGUUAGCAGCAUAGGGAGGUUCCAGAAUGGUCCUCUUCAGUGAUAACGAGGGAAUACAUCUGAGGCCUACCAACCUAAUGUAUGCAGGCUACAUGGACUGCUUCCUAGAUGUAAACAGUUCUGGGAUAUGUAUACCUAUAGGAAGACAGGAGUGAGCAACAGCUACUCAUAG